rnacentral:rRNA from 1 species
GACGAACGCUGGCGGCGCGCUUAACACAUGCAAGUCGAACGGAAAGGCCUGCUUUCCCUUGUGGAUUGCGGGUACUCGAGUGGCGAACGGGUGAGUAACACGUGAGUGAUCUGCCCCCAACUUGGGUAUAAGCCUGGGAAACUGGGUCUAAUUCCCGAUAGGACUGCAGGGUGGUGCCUGUGGUGGAAAACGAUUUUCUAGUGGUUGGGGAUGAGCUCGCGGCCUAUCAGCUUGUUGGUGGGGUAAUGGCCUACCAAGGCGGCGACGGGUAGCCGGCCUGAGAGGGUGGACGGCCACAUUGGGACUGAGAUACGGCCCAGACUCCUACGGGAGGCAGCAGUGGGGAAUAUUGCACAAUGGGCGGAAGCCUGAUGCAGCGACGCCGCGUGGGGGAUGACGGCCUUCGGGUGGUAAACUCCUUUCGACCGCGAGGAAGCCACCUGGUUGGAAGGGUGGUGACGGUAGUGGUAGGAGAAGCACCGGCUAACUACGUG